rnacentral:rRNA from 2 species
CUGGUGUCAGCCGCCGCGGUAAUACCAGCACCCCGAGUGGUCGGGACGAUUAUUGGGCCUAAAGCAUCCGUAGCCGGUCCUACAAGUCUUCCGUUAAAUCCACCUGCUUAACAGAUGGGCUGCGGAAGAUACUAUAGGGCUAGGAGGCGGGAGAGGCAAGCGGUACUCAGUGGGUAGGGGUAAAAUCCUCUGAUCCAUUGAAGACCACCAGUGGCGAAGGCGGCUUGCCAGAACGCGCUCGACGGUGAGGGAUGAAAGCUGGGGGAGCAAACCGGAUUAGAUACCCGGGUAGUCCCAGCUGUAAACGAUGCAGACUCGGUGAUGGGUUGGCCUUGUGCCAACCCAGUGCCGCAGGGAAGCCGUUAAGUCUGCCGCCUGGGGAGUACGGUCGCAAGACUGAAACUUAAAG